AUUUAACCUGCUUGACGCAGUGUACAUUGAAAGAAGGAGGGAGAGACAGGGAGAGACAGGGAGAGACAGGGAGAGACAGGGAGAGACAGAGAGAGAGAGAGAGAGAGAGAGAGAGAGAGAGAGAGAGAGCUUUCCAUUUGUUUUGCCGUUCAAGUUAUUUAUAAUAAAUCAUGAUCUGAGCAGAAAAAAAAAUUGUUAGACUGAACUACGAUCGACGAUAAGAUCCAUGAAAAAAUAGGAAGAACAAAUCGAGUCAUAGAAGUUUGUCAUUAGUAAAUAUUCUUCGAUCAAACAAAAAAGAAAAAGGAAGAAAAUACGAAUAAAGGCAAUAUGUGAAGGAACGUAUAUUUAUAUUUCAAUUUAAUUUACAUUUGUAAAUAUGUAUGUCAUUGGUGUCAAAUAUAUUCCCGUAUUAACGAUUAUUUUAAUUUUCAGUGAAGAUUUAUCGUUCAACCUUCGCUAUUCGAUAUUUCUUAUCGGUCGAAAGUCAUUUAUUGUAUUAUGUAUGAUAAAUAAAUGAACGAAUGAGUCGUUAUAAA